CAGUCGAACGGGGGCUUCGGCCCCAGUGGCGAACGGUCGCGUAACAUGUAAGCAACCUGCCCUGAAGUGGGGGACAACAUCCCGAAAGGGGUGCUAAUACCGCAUGUGGUCACGAGUCGGCAUCGACUUGUGUCUAAAGAUUUAUCGCUUCAGGAUGGGCUUGCGGCCUAUCAGGUAGUUGGUGGGGUAAUGGCCUACCAAGCCGACGACGGGUAGCUGGUCUGAGAGGACGAUCAGCCGGAUUGGGACUGAGAUACGGCCCAGACUCCUACGGGGGGCAGCAAUUAGGAAUCUUGCGCAAUGGGGGAAACCCUGACGCAGCGACGUCGCGUGAAGGAUGAAGGCCCUCGGGUCGUAAACUUCUUUUGAGUGGGAAGAAAUUUGACGGUACCACUCGAAUAAGCCCCGGCUAACUACGUGCCAGCAGCCGCGGUAAUACGUAGGGGGCGAGCGUUGUCCGAAGUUACUGGGCGUAAAGCGCGCGUAGGCGGUUAUUUAAGUCUGGGGUGAAAGGUUCAGCGCUCAACGUGAACAGUGCCUUGGAUACUGGAUGAUUGAAUUCCUGGAAGGGGGAAGGGGAAUUCCUGGUGUAGCGGUGAAAUGCGUAGAUAUCAGGAGGAACACCGGUGGCGAAGGCGCCUUCCUGGCCUAAGACUGACGCUGAGGUGCGAAAGCGUGGGGAGCAAACGGGAUUAGAUACCCCGGUAGUCCACGCCGUAAACGAUGAGUGCUAGGUGUC
rnacentral:rRNA from 1 species